AUUGAACGCUGGCGGCCUGCCUUCCCCCUGCACGUCGACCGGCAGCACGGGUGCUUGCCCCUGGUGGCGAGUGGCGAACGGGUGAGUAAUACAUCGGAACAUGUCCUGUAGUGGGGGAUAGCCCGGCGAAAGCCGGAUUAAUACCGCAUACGAUCUACGGAUGAAAGCGGGGGACCUUCGGGCCUCGCGCUAUAGGGUUGGCCGAUGGCUGAUUAGCUAGUUGGUGGGGUAAAGGCCUACCAAGGCGACGAUCAGUAGCUGGUCUGAGAGGACGACCAGCCACACUGGGACUGAGACACGGCCCAGACUCCUACGGGAGGCAGCAGUGGGGAAUUUUGGACAAUGGGCGAAAGCCUGAUCCAGCAAUGCCGCGUGUGUGAAGAAGGCCUUCGGGUUGUAAAGCACUUUGGUCCGGAAAGAAAUCCUUGGCCCUAAUACGGUCGGGGGAUGACGGUACCGGAAGAAUAAGCACCGGCUAACUACGUG
rnacentral:rRNA from 1 species